rnacentral:rRNA from 1 species
UUAGUGAGAACAAACUUCAUACCACCAGAUGCAGAUGCAAUACUGAACAUACCACCCAGACAUGGUGGAGGUGAUGAUUUUUGGGCGUGGGCUUAUGAGAGAUCCGGGACAUAUUCUGUCAAAUCCGCGUAUCGUGCUCUAAUGACUCGUAACGAACAUCAAGUUCUAGAGGAAGGGGCGAUCACUGAAUCUUCAGAGACUGACAAACAGAUGUGGACACGGCUAUGGAAGCUCAAAGUUCUGCCCAAAGUUAGGGUUUUUGGUGGCGCGUUCUACGAGGUAUUCUACCAGUGGAAUCCACACUGA